ensembl:lncRNA
UCAAUAGGAAUAAACCUUUUACACCGGUGUUAUGUUAAGAGGAUGAGACUUACUGUUGAUCUGUGACUUUAGUAUUUUAUCAGUGGGACUUAAAAGGCCUAUUAAUGUGUUUCAUCUCCUGUAAUUCCUGAUUUACAGAAGCUGGCAAAACAAGGGUGAAAUUAAUUAUUGAAUGCUUUAUCAUGAUAUAAUUAAAUAACUUUACUAUGCCAUAAAUGUUUGCUUAAUAGAGGAUGUUCUUUAUAGUUAUUCUGUUUUUGAACUUGAGUUUUAUGUUAGUACAUGCAACAUGGAGAGUAUAAGGGUCUUUUCUCUAGUCUCUGUAACUUGCAGAAGGAUGAGACAGAAUUGUAUUUUUCAUAUUCUGUAGGACAUGAGGAUCCUUUUAGUCCUUUCCACAUUUCUGAAGACCGUGAAACUCCAGAAGCAGCAAGAAUUUCUAUCAGAGAUUGUGACCACCUUUACUUUGCUGAAGGUAUAAAAUGGAAAAGAUCACUGUGACUGGCCAGAUCUUAUCAGCUCUGGAAAAAAGCUCAGGUCAAGAACAGCUCUUGAGGAAAACAAAAUGAAAGACCAACAUUUAGAAACAAUUGGAACAAUUCAGCUUCCCCUACAUAUGCGAAUUUCAGCUUUUUUUGUUGGUGGUGUUUUUUUUUGUUGUUGUUUUUAAAUACAUUUAGAGGCUGCAGGGAACAAUUAUGAUCAUCCUGACUGAACUCCUGCAUAACCCAAACUACACAAUUUCACCCAGGGACUCUUACACAUAAUGUAACAGCUUGUGAUUGAAUUACUAGAGCAUGCUGAAUUGCAGAAAGUUCUUACGUGGAAACAAGUUGUUCUUUAGAAGUUCACUUUCUGUUGCACUACAAGCUUCAUAUCUGUAGUAACAUAAUGGUCUUUAUCAGGAGUUUGCUGUGAUCUUGUUUUAAGAUGAUUACAACUCUAGGUGAGCUAUGAGAAAGCAAAUAAGCAUUGAUUUAAGCCCACAUGGUUGAGAUUUAAAAAAACUUACAAAAAUGCUUCUUGGAUCCUAUUACUUACAGAGAGUGCUCAGAGGACACUGCAGAACUCUUUCUUUAGAUGAACGAUGUCUCAGGUAAGCGCCCUACAAACUAUUGUCUGUAGAGAGUACAGACUUUCUCCACAGAGUACCCCAUUUUAUUUUCUAGCAGAGUGAAGAGUAAGAGGAAUAGGUUGCGCAAAAUAGAUUUGCUUACUCUCUGUUUUUAAUUUAUUUAUUUUUUCUCCUUAAGAUAAGCCAUUUAUUGUAAUUGCUUUUGUAGUAAACUACUGCCGAAAUUUAAAAAAAAAAAAAAAAAGUCUAUUAUGUUUCAUUGGUACUGCCAAUUAUUGCUCAACUCUUUCCACUAAAAAAGUGCAAUGGUAGUGGAUCUGUGUUAGAACUGAUAUUCAGGAAUCAUCCCUGUCCAGUAAACAGAGAGCAUCUGUGCCAAAAGCCCAGAAUAUACAGCUUAAAAUAAGAACUGGGCUAAUACAGUGCCAUUGUAAUCCACAAAAAGAUUCAUACUAACUGUAGCAAACAGUGUGUCAGGAUGGAAAUUUGACAAGUUUAAAAUUAAACUGGUCAAACAAGCAUAUCAGCUCAGUUUGAGACUGGGUCCUAUGUAUCCAAACCUGUGAAGUAUUGAAACCUGGUAAUGUACUGUAUUUCUAAGAUGCCUUGAAAAUAAAAAGAUUAGGAUUUCAGCA